rnacentral:lncRNA from 1 species
ACUCUAAUUGAUUCUAAGAUCUAUAAAUAAGCUAUUAGGGUUCUCUAACUGAUAGAACAUCACGAGAAUACAUGUUUGAGAAACCCCAGAGGCCAGGAUUUCGUUCAAAACCUAUUUUCUACAAAGUAGCCUCUUUUAGGUCAAUUCGAGGUAUUGAAAAUUGAUAUUUAUAUGUCGAAUUGAUCUAUCUUCGCUUAGAGAUUCUUCUCUGGUUUUCAUCGAUACUCUAAGCGAAGGAUCACCAUAAUCAUGAUGUUCUUUAUGGAUGGCGUCGUGGAUUCGACGUGAUCGAAGGCGGUUCGAGGAUUCGGAUCGUGUGCUCGUGGAUUCGAGUAGCGUUCGUGGAUUCGAGUAGCGUUCGUGGAUUCGAGUAGCGUUCGUGGAUUCGAACGUGAGCGAGGCGUUCGUGGAUUCGAACGUGAGCGAGGCGUUCGUGGAUUCGAACAUGAGGGCGUGGACAACUCGGAGGAUUACGCGAGAUUCAUAAGAGGUUAAGAGAGGUCAAGUCCGUGGAGUCAGUAAUCACCUUGUAAUUAUCUUUCUCUUAGUGAAUUAUUUUUUCGCGUGUUAAUCCCGUGGGUUUUUACUCCAAGUUGGAGUUUUUCCACAUAAAUCUCGGUGUGAUUUUUAUUUUCUGCAUUUACUUUUAUCGCAAUGAGAUUUGUGGUUUUUGACCGUUACACCUAUUCACCCCCCUCUAGGUGUUUGAUACAAUCUAGAUAGAUUCUAGGGCUCCUCGUAACUUACAAUUGGGGUGUGAUAGACGCCCCCCGUUAAGGCCCUGACGUCCUCGUCAGUCCAAUCAUACACACAGCCCAAGAUCACCAGGCGAUGUG